rnacentral:rRNA from 1 species
UUAUACAGUGAAACUGCGAAUGGCUCAUUAAAUCAGUUAUCGUUUAUUUGAUAGUACCUACUAGAUGGAUAACCUCGGUAAAUCUGACGCUAAUACAUGCAUAAAAUCCCAACGGAAGGGAUGUAUUUAUUAGAUAAAAAAUCAAUGCCUUCGGGCUCUUUGAUGAUUCAUAAUAACUUGUCGAACCGCAUGGCUUUAGCUGGCGGUGGUUCAUUCAAAUUUCUGCCCUAUCAACUUUCGAUGGUAGGAUAGUGGCCUACCAUGGUUUCAACGGGUAACGGGGAAUAAGGGUUCGAUUCCGGAGAGGCAGCCUGAGAAACGGCUACCACAUCCAAGGAAGGCAGCAGGCGCGCAAAUUACCCAAUCCCGACACGGGGAGGUAGUGACAAUAAAUAACGAUACAGGGCCCUUUCGGGUCUUGUAAUUGGAAUGAGUACAAUGUAAAUACCUUAACGAGGAACAAUUGGAGGGCAAGUCUGGUCCAGCAGCCGCGGUAAUUCCAGCUCCAAGAGCGUAUCUUAAAAUUGUUGCAGUUAAAAAGCUCGUAGUUGAACCUUGGGUCUGGCUGGCCGGUCCGCUUUUAUGCGAGUACUGGACCAGCCGGGCCUUCCUUCUGGCUAGCCCUCGGGCGACCAGGACUUUUACUUUGAAAAAAUUAGAGUGUUCAAAGCAGGCUUUGCUCGAAUAUAUUAGCAUGGAAUAAUAGAAUAGGACGUAUGGUUCUAUUUUGUUGGUUUCUAGGACCAUCGUAAUGAUUAAUAGGAACGGUCGGGGGCAUCAGUAUUCAGUUGUCAGAGGUGAAAUUCUUGGAUUUACUGAAGACUAACUACUGCGAAAGCAUUUGCCAAGGACGUUUUCAUUAAUCAAGAACGAAAGUUAGGGGAUCGAAGAUGAUCAGAUACCGUCGUAGUCUUAACCAUAAACUAUGCCGACUAGGGAUCGGGCGCUGUUCAUUUCGACACGCUCGGC